GUAAGCAGUUCCCUCCACAUUGCAUCUGUACCAAGGGACGUUACUUGUUCUUUAGGAGAUGAGUUCCUCAGCAGCAGCGGGUUGGGGGGAACAAAACAGUGUUGAGAUGUUUUUCUGGCCACAGCAUCUCCUUGGGGGAUGCAUGUUUUUAACUUGUUCGUAGACCAGUUGUCCACUCAGGGGUUCUGCAACACUUCCAGCCCAGAAGACAGCUAUAAAUUCAUCUUUAAAUCUAGUCACAGGAAAGACUUUCCAGCUGGAGAAUGCGUUACUAAAUGUACACAGACUUUUACAGAAGUCUUAAUCGGAAAAGCUAAGUUUAUUACAGGCAUAGAAGCAUCAAGAGGCAGCUUCUUAACAAAGAGCAGGAUGUUUGAACAGUAACUGGUGGAAGAUGAUUUCCACUGGCUGUAGGAGCUUGAGGAAUUGUUUAAUCUACUUAUGCUUGAAACCCAGGGAAGCUUGAUCCCUAGUGUUUAUACAUCAUACUACUAUGCUGUAGCUGUAAACGUUCUAAUAUGGAUAUAUGCAGCUUGUAAGCUGUAACUUUUCAAGUUCUACCUUCAUUACUUCCUAUUAAUAAAAGAACAUCUAAAUAGUGGACAAACUGCACUAGUGGUAGUUUCCCACGUGCAGUAUUCACAAUCAGCUGGGUCUCUGUGGCCGUCUCUGGGGUUAAAGAGGGGUUCUGAACACUCGGGCUGAACAGUUAAUCCCACACUUCUGGUGUUCAGAUCCCGCUGCAAAGAGUGUCUUAGUUAUUUUUUUUUCCUGCACCUAAGCCAGAAUAAUCUGCAAACUCUGUCCCAUCUGUGAAUUUUGCAUUUUAGCACUUGCACUAUUACCAGCUACUUCUGCUGAGUAACACUUAAAAAUGGUAUUCUUGGACCUCCAAAGCCUAACUGUGACCCCCUGCAAGGAACCUCGUGGUAAGUUGUAAGUAGCAUGGCUUUCAUUUUGUUUCCAUUGUCCAGGGGUAGGUUUUGUCAGGCUGCUGGGCAGUGCUGGGUAGUCUUUGCUGAUAAUUUUAGCAUUCUUCACCCUCAGACAAAAUCCCUGACAAUUUUGGAGUAAUUUUCAAGUUCUAGUCAUAUUUUCUACUUGCUUUGCAUACUCUAUAGUGUUUAUAAGUGAGUAAAUAAACUACUGUUGAAAAUGUAACAAA
rnacentral:lncRNA from 1 species